UACGGAGGGAGCUAGCGUUGUUCGGAAUUACUGGGCGUAAAGCGCGCGUAGGCGGCUUUGUAAGUUAGAGGUGAAAGCCCGGGGCUCAACCCCGGAAUUGCCUUUAAGACUGCAUCGCUUGAAUCCGGGAGAGGUGAGUGGAAUUCCGAGUGUAGAGGUGAAAUUCGUAGAUAUGGGGAGGAACACCGGUGGCGAAGGCGGCCAUCUGGACGGAUACUGACGCUGAGACGCGAAAGCGUGGGUAGCAAACAGG
rnacentral:rRNA from 1 species